rnacentral:ncRNA from 1 species
AACUCCUGGGUGAGAGGAUGACGAUGAAGAUGAUGUGGUGAUGGUGGUGACCUGUAGUCCCAUCUCUCAUUCAUUCGUCCAUCCAUCAGUCAGUGGAUCAUUCGGUCAUACCCCUCCCUCUGAGAUGCGACCUCAAAUCAGAUGUUGCAACCUGUUGAAUUUUAGCAUAUUAGCCAGAGGAGGAAAAGAAACUAACAAGGAUUCCCUCAGUAAUGGUGAGUGAACAGGGAACAGCCCAGCACAGAAUCCCCACCAUGCGGUGAGGCAAGGGAAAUGUGUAGAGAAGCCCCAUUCCCCAACUUGUGGGAGGCCCAAGUCCUUCUGAUCGAGGUCCAGCCUGUGGAUGGUGUGAGGCUGGUAGCAGUCCCUGGCGUGCUGGAUCUGGGUCUUUCCAGAGUUAGGUUGCUUGGGAAUGCAGUCCAAAGUGAGUGGUAAACUCCAUCUAAGGCUAGAUACCAUCAUGAGACCAAUAGUCAACAAGUACUAUAAGGGAAAGUUGAAAAGAACUUUGAAAAGAGAGUUCAAGAAGGCGUGAAA